UACGUAGGGGGCAAGCGUUGUCCGGAAUCAUUGGGCGUAAAGAGCGUGUAGGCGGCCCGAUAAGUCCGCCGUGAAAGUCCAGGGCUCAACCCUGGAAUGCCGGUGGAAACUGUCGGGCUGGAGUCCGGAAGAGGCGAGUGGAAUUCCUGGUGUAGCGGUGAAAUGCGCAGAGAUCAGGAGGAACACCAAUGGCGAAGGCAGCUCGCUGGGACGGUACUGACGCUGAGACGCGAAAGCAUGGGGAGCGAACAGG
rnacentral:rRNA from 1 species